UGGGCUGACUGGGGAAGAGCUAGAUGCCAGCCCUCUCCUAUGAGUCAGCGCUAUGCACAAACUGUGAAGAAGGAAAACAGGAAGUCCUGUGAGUGGGCGCCAUGCGCAGACUGGCUGAGGGAGGGCCAGACAACAGCUCUUUCUGGCGUGUAGGCAGGGAGACAAGAAGAGGCAUCAUUCCCCCUCCCUCCUUGAGACCAGCUGAUCCAGAGAAGCACAGGCUGUGAUGAUAGCUAAUCAGAGGAACUCCAGUCUUCACCUUCACCUUGGACCUCAUCUCCUGGCACAAAUUCUUCAGCUUCAAACCGAGACCCAUCAGCCUCCUAAUAUGGACUCACAUGGGACACUGCAGUGAGCUCUUUCAGCUGGAUCCUUUGAUCUCCAGGAUGCAGAGAUGCUCAUCUGACUCUGCUGGAGCCAUUAUAAGCCAGUCUUGUGUAUAAUACCCAGUCAUUAUGUAUAAUACCACACCUAACAAACUUUUAAAGUACAAAUAAAUAAAAAAUUAUUAACUAUC